UAAGUUGUUAGCGAAAGUGAAUCUAAACUUGAACACUGUACGUGCCUGCGUCCGGCCUGCUCGUGACCGCGCUUCCUGGACCCGCCUCCUGCCACGUCACCAGACAGGCCGGGAUAGACAUGGCGGAACGGAGGAGACACAAGAAGCGGAUCCAGGAGGUGGGCGAGCCAACCAAUGAUGAGAAGGCAAUAGCCAAGUACUUGCGCUUCAAUUGUCCUUCCAAAUCAACUAAUAUGAUGGGCCACAGAGUUGACUACUUCAUUGCUUCCAAGGCGGUGGAUUGUCUUUUUGGAUUCAAAAAUGGGCUAAAGCCAAGAAAGAGAAGAAGCUCUUUUUACUAAUAGAGGAGUCAGUAGUUGAGUUCUGCAAUAGACUUUUGAAGAAACAGUUUUUCCACCGAGCACUGAAAGUGAUGAAGACAAAGCCAGAGAAAGAGGUAAAAAAGGAAAAGGAGAAAGAUAAAGGAAAGACCGAUAGUGGAAAGGAAGAUGAGAAAAAGAGCAAGAAAGAUGCUCCCAAAGAGGAGAAAUCAAAAAAGGAAAAGAAAAAAGAACCCGAAAAAGAGGAAGUAAAGAAGGAUGAAACUCCUGGAACACCAAAGAAAAAGGAGACCAAGCGAAAGUUUUAAGCUAGAACCACAUGAGGAUCAGGUUUUCCUUGAUGGAAAUGAGGUAUAUGUGUGGAUAUAUGACCCAGUCCAUUUUAAAACAUUUGCUAUGGGCCUCAUCCUUGUUAUUGCAGUUAUAGCUGCGACCCUCUUUCCUCUGUGGCCUGCUGAGAUGCGUGUUGGGGUUUACUACCUCAGUGUUGGAGCAGGAUGUUUUGUCGCCAGUAUUCUACUUCUUGCUGUUGCAAGGUGCAUUCUCUUCCUUAUCAUUUGGCUCUUGACUGGAGGAAGACAUCACUUCUGGUUCCUGCCUAACUUGACAGCAGAUGUUGGUUUCAUUGAUUCCUUCCGACCAGUUUAUACACACGAAUACAAAGGACCAAAACCUGACCAGAAGAAAGAGGAAACGUGUGAAGAGAAAAAGCCACUAAAAGCAGACAGUGAGGAUAAAUCAGACAGUGAAAAGAAAGAAGAAGAGGACAGAAAGGCUGAAGCAGCGGAGGGAUCAGGGAGCGAAGUCUCUGGUGCAGAAAGGCAGUCAGACACAGAUAGUGACAGGCGGGAAGAUGAAGGCUCACAGCAUAGUAGUGGCAAUGGAAAUGAUUUGAAAUGAUCACAAAGGAGGAACUUGAGCAGCAAACUGAUGAAGGAGACUGCGAGGAGGAGGAAGAGAAUGUUAAAGAGGAAGAAGGCACAGUUGAGAGUAGGCCUCUAUGUGGAAAAUCUUAAGACUUGGCUGGUGUUUGUGACUGAUUAUAUGCUUGGAUGGAUAUUUCCUUAGAGUGAUCACCAAACAUCACAUAGUUUCCUUCACUCUUCUUUACGAUAUGCAGAUUCUGUAGGGAUCAUAAAAUAUGUUAAGUUAAUUUCCAGAAAAUAAUUUUUAUUGGAGGAAAAUCAAAUCCUUUUUCAGUGAAACAAAAUGCAAGUCGUGACAGUACGUGCUGGCCUUUAACCUUCACUUGUUCUAUCACGUUCCUGUGUAGCAGAAUGUGAUCCAUGUGUAAUAUUGCAACUGUUGGGGUUCAGCUAUCUGCAUGCAGCACACACUUAUUGCUGCUUGUUAGGUGCACCCCAUAUAGAUGGUCUGGUCAUUUCAAGAAGCUUUGAGUGUAACAUCAGCAUCCAGAUGUAGCAUAAUAAUUUAUGCAAAAUUAACUCUAUGAAGAAAUGUUUUAAAUCCGUGGAUAAGUGCUGGGAGUUGUAAUAAAACAGCAGUCAGCAUUGCAUCUUUCAGCAACCCCCACUAGACUUUUCCACCAGUAAGGCUGGCACCCCUGUCGGAGAAUUCCCGCAUCAUUUAGAGCCAAAUAAGAAUGAAUCUGAUCUAUACCGUUAAGUCCUUAUAGUGUUUGAUUCUGCUGAUCACUAGGUUACGUACAGUUCAUAUAUCUAUCAAUUAUAUAUAUAUUUAGUGAAGAAAUUUUAUUUUAUAAAAACUUUAAUGACAUCCCUUCUAUCGGUUAACGUUUGAACAGAGCGCGUUAGUCGGUUGCAGCGCUGUAAAAGUACGGCAUAGUUUUUGAUGGUAUUUUGGUACUACCAUCCCCAUUUUAAACUCUUUAGUGUAAACUGAAUAAAAUGAACACACACACACACAGUAAGCCCCUAUACCGAGAAUUCUUGAGGUUGAUUCCCAGCACCAGUUCCCUAUAUGUAGUGAUAAAUAUAAUGAAUGUCUUUUGCCUAAAAAUCACCUCCACCUCCUAUGGUUGUUUUAAAGUGCUCCUUCUGCAUCUAAUUCCUGAUCAUAAAUAACACCAGAUUAGUAUAUGUAGCUGUUAUUUGUAUAAUUGAAUGUCACCUGAUGGGCCAAGAUUUGAAGAAAAGAUGGUGGCUAAGAGGCAUACUAAUGCAUAGUAGAUAAGAGACGAAGUGAAAAUUACUUGUUUUUAUUACUCAGCGCACCUUUAUGGCAUAGUGUACAUUUUUUUUGUCCUGCAGAAAUAUAGUUUACAAAUAAAUAUCCAAGUUAUUUCGUCUGACUUGAAAUGGAUAUACUGGUGGUCAUUGCGAAAGUGUGUUGAAUUAGAGGAAAUAUUGAACCUGGCACGUGUUUAUAGUAAAUGUUUAUAUAUACUUAUAUGAGCUCUAGGCCCCAGUUAGAUACAGAGGCUUAUAUAUCCCUAGGAAUCGGGGAACUUGGGAAGCUGCUAGAACCUUACCAUUGCCUUAGCAUAAGCAAACGAAAUCCAAAUGAUAAUAGAUCAGUGUUCAAUGUUGAGGUGCAAAUACCCUCAGUUCUGUGAGUACACAGCAAGACUGUAAAGGAAAGAGUUGGAGCUGUAGUUCUGUGGAGACGGGUUCCCUCUAUAGACAAAUGUAACUGUUUUCUAAAUUAUUUACGUAUUUUAAUUGUAUAAUUCACCUUCUAAGAUGAUUAAUGCCUGCAGGACACUGUCCCAUUGAAUGCUUCAAUUUCUAUCAGAACUUUGAAUAGAGGUUAUUACAGGUCUUUAGUCAUAAGAAAGCCCUGGGUUGUAUACGGGGAGUCUUUCUGUGGGAUGUAGUUGUUUCCAGGCUUCAGUUUUGUGCCAACAUUCCAUGUAUGUAAGUAUAAAUAAAACAAUGCUUAUUAAAAGUAAA